CAUGUCUAUAAGUAAAAUUUAUAGUCUCACCUGCACACUGAUUCGUUUAAAGAGCUGUAGUAUUUUGACUAUGCAAAGGUAGCAUAAUAUAUUGUUUUUUAAUUAAAAACUUGUAUGAAAGGUUUGAUGAAGAAAGACUUUUCCUUUUUUAAAAUAAAAAUUAAUACUUUAGUAAAAAUUCUAAAUUUUCCUAUAAGACGAUAAGACCCUAUAAAAUUUAAUUUAUUAUCUCUCUUGGUUAGAAAGUAAAUACAAUAAAUUUUGUUGGGGCAACAAAAAUAUAAAAUUUAACUGUUUGUUUUUAAACAUUUAUAAAUGAAAAUUUAAGACCCUAAAAAGAUUAUGAAAACAAAUUACUUUAGGGAUAACAGCGUAAUUUUAUUUAAAGUUCAAAUUAAAAAUAAAGUUUGCGACCUCGAUGUUGAAUUAAGAAACCUUUUAAAUGCAGAAGUUUAUUUUGGUAAUCUGUUCGAUUAUUAAUAUCUCACAUGAUCUGA
rnacentral:rRNA from 1 species